rnacentral:rRNA from 1 species
AUGGCCCCCAUGGCGUCAAGGAAACGCGCCAGAUACUGUUGCGGCCUCUGCGGCCUCCUAAAGAAGGGCCAUGUCUGCCGCUUCGCCGGCGGAUCAUCUUCGGCGCGGCUGGUGCUGGGCCGAGAAGAAGCGGCGGCGCCCAUGGACCCUCCUUCUGCUGGCGCCAAGAAGGAGGAGGUCACCAUCAUCACCGCCCUCCCCAACGACGUCCUAGGCACCAUCAUCUCCGCGAUCCCAAUCGACGAGGCCGCCCGCACAAACGCCAUCUCCAAAGGCUGGAAACACCUCUGGCGCGACUACACUCCGCUCAACCUUGACGAUCGUGACCUCCACAAAAUGGCCUGGACCGGAGACAACCUGAUCGACCUUAUCUCAAACAUCCUCGAGGCUCCAUGCAAGGCAUCCUCGAGGCUCCACGCGAGGUACGUGCCCGUCGUCUUUCUCUCAGCACGCUAUGCGGUCACUUCGGUGACCAAGACCGCUGCCCCUUCUUCGAGCGAUGGUUCUGAUCCAAGCUUCUCGAUCGCCUCGAAGAUUUUCAUUUCAGCUACCUGCGGAAACUAUCACUUCCGCCGCGUGCACAUCAGCUCGCAAACUAUUGUAAGGUUCCGCAUGUUCGUUGACCCAGACAGUGAUGUGAUGGAAGAGCUCCUCAUAGUCAGCACUCCAAGCCUAGAGGAAGUGAUGCUCUGGGACCAAGGUUAUUGUGGUCCGCGAAUCAUACAUGUCCUUGUUGCCCCAAAACUUCACAUCUUGGGUUGCCUGCACAUUGAUAUCAUGUCCACCGUACAGCUUGGGAAGACAAUGCUCCAGACACUAACGAGCCAUGUUCCAAACAAGCAGAAUGACAUUCCAGUUGCUACUACUGUCGACUAUGUUGACAGACAUCUAAAGCAAGUAGUAGUGAGAAAUUAUUCUGGCAAGAAACCUGAUUACAACUUUGCCAAGUUCUUUCUUUUGAAUGCAAAAGCCCUAGAGUCGAUGAAGCUCCAUGUACCUUUUAGCCGGAACAACGAAUGGAGCUCUAGACAACGUAUGAAGAUGGAUGUUAAGAACAGAGCUUCUCCGAAUGCUUGGGUUUGUUUUGAGGACGCGGAGUGA